rnacentral:rRNA from 1 species
GAUGAACGCUGGCUACAGGCUUAACACAUGCAAGUCGAGGGGAAACGACGGGGAAGCUUGCUUCCCCGGGCGUCGACCGGCGCACGGGUGAGUAACGCGUAUCCAACCUGCCUCUGACUGAGGGAUAACCCGUCGAAAGUCGGCCUAAUACCUCAUGGCAUCGUCUGCGGGCAUCCAACGACGAUUAAAGAUUUCAUCGGUCAGGGAUGGGGAUGCGUCUGAUUAGCUUGUUGGCGGGGUAACGGCCCACCAAGGCUACGAUCAGUAGGGGUUCUGAGAGGAAGGUCCCCCACAUUGGAACUGAGACACGGUCCAAACUCCUACGCGAGGCAGCAGUGAGGAAUAUUGGUCAAUGGGCGGGAGCCUGAACCAGCCAAGUAGCGUGCAGGAUGACGGCCCUAUGGGUUGUAAACUGCUUUUAUGCGGGGAUAAAGUGAGGGACGUGUCCUUCAUUGCAGGUACCGCAUGAAUAAGGACCGGCUAAUUCCGUG